CCACAUGGCUGCCACGAAAAUCCAACCCUGCUCAGUCCCACCCUAUCCUUUCCCUUCAGAUCCAGUUUCGACUCCUGGACUUGGCCUGUGAGUCUUCUGGACUCCAUCAUCCUACAUUCUCAUUUGCCUCUCAUCUGGUCUGGGGGCUCUACAAGGGUAGGUCCUGGACAUUUUGAUUCUGGGACCUGCCAUAGAAAGGAGGUUAGGCUUUCUGGGCAAGGAUCACAGGCCAGGCCCCCAUCAGAUGUUUACACACGUUUCUGCAAUUUGGGCUUCACAAUAAGCCAGAACAUCAGGUGUUACUAUUAUUCUCACUUUGAAGAUCAGCAAACUGAGGUCAGAAAGAUCAAGCAAUAUGCCAAAAGUCACACUCAAUGUGAUCGCUGAAGACAUGAAGAGAUGAAGGAAGGGGCACUGAGCACAUGGGGUUCCCGCUUUCAGGCCCUGGUCCCCAGAGGCAUCUGCAGCGGGGCUGCUGUGAGGUACUUCCCGGGCAUUUGGCCCCUUGGACAAGGAUCUGGAAAAGGAAGCCCACAGGGAGUGGCAGAAGCAUCAUUAAUCAGCACAAUAAAGACAGCCAGAAGUUGCCCAACAACCACUGGGUACAGGCCCCAGGCUGGGUCCGUUAUUCUCAGUUUAGGCACCAACCUGAGAAGAAGCUACUAUCUUUCUCACUCUACUGAUGGGGAAACUGAGGUUGGAUGAGAUGAGGACUAGAGCUGGGGGCAGGUGGGGGGAAUAUUAGUGAUGACCAGCAGGGCCCUCCGUCAGCAUAGAUCUGAGGUUCCUGGUGGCGAGGAAGGAGAAGAAGCUGCUUGAGGGUCCAGGAGACGCUGGAGGAGGCUCUGAACACUACAGCACAACCAGAGAGGGGACUGUGGACCCACCAGAGGGGAUGGCUGCGGUGUGGGGGAACCCCCUUUGUGGCCGCUCCAGGGCCAGUGAAGGGUCAUUUCCUUCCGUGUUCAGCCCCGCCGUCACCUCUCCUGUUUGCCUCCCCUAAGUGCGGCGGCGCCAACAGCGGGAGAAAUCGGGGCCAGGCCGGAUUUCCUCUGCGGACCUGCGGCUGCUAGAGCCACCCGCCCCUCCGGACCCCGCGGGGCCACGAACUGCACGUGCGGCGGCGGCCUCGGUGGCACAGCCCUUCCUUAGGGACCCCUCUCCUUCCCCGUCCUUUCACCCUGUCCUC
ensembl:lncRNA